rnacentral:rRNA from 1 species
AUUGAACGCUGGCGGCAUGCCUUACACAUGCAAGUCGAACGGCAGCGGACCUUCGGGUGCCGGCGAGUGGCGAACGGGUGAGUAAUAUAUCGGAACGUACCUUUCAGUGGGGGAUAACGUAGCGAAAGUUACGCUAAUACCGCAUAUUCUGUGAGCAGGAAGGCAGGGGAUCGCAAGACCUUGCGCUGAUUGAGCGGCCGAUAUCAGAUUAGCUAGUUGGUGAGGUAAAGGCUCACCAAGGCGACGAUCUGUAGCGGGUCUGAGAGGAUGAUCCGCCACACUGGAACUGAGACACGGUCCAGACUCCUACGGGAGGCAGCAGUGGGGAAUUUUGGACAAUGGGCGCAAGCCUGAUCCAGCCAUGCCGCGUGAGUGAAGAAGGCCUCGG